GAGCCGUUGAAACUGGCGUUCUUGAGUGGGCGAGAAGUAUGCGGAAUGCGUGGUGUAGCGGUGAAAUGCAUAGAUAUCACGCAGAACUCCGAUUGCGAAGGCAGCAUACCGGCGCCCUACUGACGCUGAGGCACGAAAGCGUGGGUAUCGAACAGGAUUAGAUACCCUGGUAGUCCACGCAGUAAACGAUGAAUGCUAACUGUCCGGUGCGAGUGAGCGCUGGGCGGUACAGCGAAAGCGUUAAGCAUUCCACCUGGGGAGUACGCCGGCAACGGUGAAACUCAAAGGAAUUGACGGGGGCCCGCACAAGCGGAGGAACAUGUGGUUUAAUUCGAUGAUACGCGAGGAACCUUACCCGGGCUCAAACGCAGGCUGACGGGUCCCGAAAGGGGCCUUUCUUCGGACAUUCUGCGAGGUGCUGCAUGGUUGUCGUCAGCUCGUGCCGUGAGGUGUCGGCUUAAGUGCCAUAACGAGCGCAACCCCUGUCCACAGUUGCCAGCAGGUAAAGCUGGGGACUCUGUGGAGACUGCCGGCGCAAGCUGCGAGGAAGGCGGGGAUGACGUCAAAUCAGCACGGCCCUUACGUCCGGGGCGACACACGUGUUACAAUGGCAGGUACAGCGGGAUGCCACGGGGCGACCCGGCGCUGAACCCGAAAACCUGUCUCAGUUCGGAUUGGAGUCUGCAACCCGACUCCAUGAAGCUGGAUUCGCUAGUAAUCGCGCAUCAGCCACGGCGCGGUGAAUACGUUCCCGGGCCUUGUACACACCGCCCGUCAAGCCAUGGAAGCCGGGGGUACCUGAAGUGCGUGACCGCGAGGAGCGCCCUAGGGUAAAACCGGUGACUGGGGCUAAGUCGUAACAAGGUAACCGUAA
rnacentral:rRNA from 1 species